GUGGCCCUAACUGAAGACCAGCAGUUACACUAUAGCUGUUGGUUUCAAGCAGAGGCCUUAUAGGACUGUCUUCUUAUGGUCUGUUGGCUGUUCUGGAACCUCAGUAGAGAACAGCUAUUUCAUUUGAAAGAAACAAUC